UACGUAGGGUGCAAGCGUUGUCCGGAAUUAUUGGGCGUAAAGAGCUUGUAGGCGGUUUUGUCGCGUCUGCUGUGAAAAUCCGGGGCUCAACCCCGGACUUGCAGUGGGUACGGGCAGACUAGAGUGUGGGUAGGGGAGACUGGAAUUCCUGGUGUAGCGGUGAAAUGCGCAGAUAUCAGGAGGAACACCGAUGGCGAAGGCAGGUCUCUGGGCCACUACUGACG
rnacentral:rRNA from 1 species